rnacentral:rRNA from 1 species
AUUGAACGCUGGCGGCAGGCUUAACACAUGCAAGUCGAGCGGGGAAAAGUAGCUUGCUACUGGACCUAGCGGCGGACGGGUGAGUAAUGCUUAGGAAUCUGCCUAUUAGUGGGGGACAACAUCUCGAAAGGGAUGCUAAUACCGCAUACGUCCUACGGGAGAAAGCAGGGGACCUUCGGGCCUUGCGCUAAUAGAUGAGCCUAAGUCGGAUUAGCUAGUUGGUGGGGUAAAGGCCUACCAAGGCGACGAUCUGUAGCGGGUCUGAGAGGAUGAUCCGCCACACUGGGACUGAGACACGGCCCAGACUCCUACGGGAGGCAGCAGUGGGGAAUAUUGGACAAUGGGGGGAACCCUGAUCCAGCCAUGCCGCGUGUGUGAAGAAGGCCUUUUGGUUGUAAAGCACUUUAAGCGAGGAGGAGGCUACCGAGAUUAAUACUCUUGGACAGUGGACGUUACUCGCAGAAUAAGCACCGGCUAACUCUGUGCCAGCCGCCGCCGUAA